rnacentral:rRNA from 1 species
GGUUGUAAAGCACUUUCAGUCGUGAGGAAGGUAGUGUAGUUAAUAGCUGCAUUAUUUGACGUUAGCGACAGAAGAAGCACCGGCUAACUCCGUGCCAGCAGCCGCGGUAAUACGGAGGGUGCGAGCGUUAAUCGGAAUUACUGGGCGUAAAGCGCAUGCAGGUGGUUUGUUAAGUCAGAUGUGAAAGCCCGGGGCUCAACCUCGGAAUAGCAUUUGAAACUGGCAGACUAGAGUACUGUAGAGGGGGGUAGAAUUUCAGGUGUAGCGGUGAAAUGCGUAGAGAUCUGAAGGAAUACCGGUGGCGAAGGCGGCCCCCUGGACAGAUACUGACACUCAGAUGCGAAAGCGUGGGGAGCAAACAGGAUUAGAUACCCUGGUAGUCC